rnacentral:sRNA from 1 species
CUUAUGUAUACGAAGAGUGGUGCAGUAUUCUAGUCAGUCCUCCGUUUUUGAAGGCGGGGCUAAAAAUCCGCCAAAGGGCACAUCGAUGAAGCUCCUUGUCUUGGCUUGAGGCGCCCAGCCUUGGGUCUUGACUGGGAGAAAAGGUAGUAGGGCGAUCCACAAAGGCAUGUGGGCGAUGACCCUACUACUGUGGAGGCCUUUUGCAGAAACGGUAUGUAUUAGAUGCCGUUUUAUGCAAAAGGUAUGAACCUGCAUAGGCAAACUAGGGAGUUUGUCUGCAGCGUAGCCUGCCUUGAGUGGAGUUAGAGGGGAUUAUGGAUAUGUGUUCGCCUCAUUGUCGGCCAACAAUGAGACGUUCUUACCAUAUGAAAUCUGCUCUGCAAAAGAGGAUAAAAGAAUGGCUCGGGACUGUUGAGGAAAUCUCCUAGACUGUUCAAUUGAGUUGCAGUUGACAUCUAUUGAGGAUUACAGUGUAGACUAAGUGGUAAUCCAGUCUGACGUUUGGUGACAGCGUCAAAUUUGGUAUAAUGGGAAACCACCAUUGCGGCGACGCGUGGGACUGAAUUGGGAAAACCUACUGGACCUAAGCUACAGAGUUUACUCUUUAGAUGACCACUCCAUUAAUUUUUAUG